AGAGUUUGAUCCUGGCUCAGAACGAACGCUGGCGGCGCGUUUUAAACAUGCAAGUCGAACGGCAAGGGGCACUUGUGCCCCCUAGAGUGGCGAACGGGUGAGUAACACGUAGAUAAUCUACCCUACAGUUUGGGAUAGUCCAUGGAAACAUGGGGUAAUACCGGAUGUGACUGGUUUUUCAUAAGAGAAGCCAAGGAAAGGCGCUAAGGCGCCGCUGUGGGAUGAGUCUGCGCUCCAUUAGCUAGUUGGUGGGGUAAUGGCCUACCAAGGCUGCGAUGGAUAGCCGGCCUGAGAGGGUGAUCGGCCACAUUGGGACUGAGACACGGCCCAGACUCCUACGGGAGGCAGCAGUUAAGAAUCUUCCGCAAUGGACGCAAGUCUGACGGAGCGACGCCGCGUGAACGAUGAAGGCCGUGAGGUUGUAAAGUUCUUUUCUGGGGGAGGAAUAAUGAUGGCAGGGAAUGGUCAUCAGAUGACGUUAACCCAGGAAUAAGCCCCGGCUAACUACGUGCCAGCAGCCGCGGUAACACGUAGGGGGCGAGCGUUGUUCGGAAUUAUUGGGCGUAAAGGGUGCGCAGGCUGCAUAGGUAGUCUGAUGUAAAAUGUCUCGGCUUAACCGAGGCCUGCCAUUGGAAACUGCUAUGCUAGAGUACAGGAGGGGGAGUUGGAAUUCCAGGUGUAGGGGUGAAAUCUGUAGAUAUCUGGAGGAACAUCGGUGGCGAAGGCGAACUUCUGGCCAUGUACUGACGCUGAGGCACGAAGGCGUGGGGAGCAAACAGGUUUAGAUACCCUGGUAGUCCAC
rnacentral:rRNA from 1 species